rnacentral:rRNA from 1 species
CCUACGGGUGGCUGCAGUGGGGAAUAUUGGACAAUGGGGGCAACCCUGAUCCAGCCAUGCCGCGUGUGUGAAGAAGGCCCUCGGGUUGUAAAGCACUUUCAGUGAGGAAGAACGCCUGGUGGUUAAUACCCAUCAGGAAAGACAUCACUCACAGAAGAAGCACCGGCUAACUCCGUGCCAGCAGCCGCGGUAAUACGGAGGGUGCGAGCGUUAAUCGGAAUUACUGGGCGUAAAGCGCGCGUAGGUGGCUUGAUAAGCCGGUUGUGAAAGCCCCGGGCUCAACCUGGGAACGGCAUCCGGAACUGUCAAGCUAGAGUGCAGGAGAGGAAGGUAGACUUCCCGGUGUAGCGGUGAAAUGCGUAGAGAUCGGGAGGAAUACCAGUGGCGAAGGCGGCCUUCUGGACUGACACUGACACUGAGGUGCGAAAGCGUGGGUAGCAAACAGGAUUAGAUACCCCUGUAGUC